rnacentral:lncRNA from 1 species
GGAGAAUGGUGUAAGCUUGCAGUGAGCAGAGAUGGGCUUACUGCACUCCAGCCUGGGUGACAGAGCAAGACUCCGUCUCAAAAAAAGAAAAAGAAGAAUGUAUUUUUUACAACACAAUCAAAUCAAUGCCUUAAAACUAGGCUGUCAUCACAUUUUUCCCCCCGUUUUACAUACUUAAAUUGGCUAAAUCAAGAAUAGGGGCUGGCUCUCAGUCCCUACCUCGUGGGGGGUGCCUCCCCUCCCUGCGAUGGGGGUCCUAAGAGCCUGGGGCGGAAGAGGGGCUGGCUCUCAGCCACCACAAAAUGGGGAGCCUUUAUGUUCAGGUUUUGCCCAAGAGUCAGCUUAUUUGCUUCUGGUACUAGCAGGGCAGUUGAUGCCGUGGCCUUCAAACAUGGGGGCCAUCCUUUAGAAACCCUUUCUAUUUGUUUAGACACGUAGGCCACCGGCCUCAGCCAGGGCCCCAGAGUUUCGGUUAAAAUUCCAGCUGCCAUCUUUUCUCUAUCUGACGCAUUCAAUGGAAAAGGCUUUGUCAGAUCUGGUAGCCCCGGGGCUGGGGCUGCCAGAAGUUUUUCCUUUAACUCAUGAAAGACUUGCUGUUGUUGGGAUCCCCAUUCUAAAGGUUCCCGGUCCCCGCCCCCUUUGUGACCUCAUACAAAGACUUGGCUAAUACUGCAAAGUUUGGGAUGCACAGUCUACAAAACCCCACAGCCCCUAAGAAUUCCCUCACCUGCCUUCUGCCCUUAGGCUCCGGUAGAUUGCAAAUGACCUGCUUUCUUUCUGUUCCCGGGCGUUUGGACCCCUGUCUUGGACCGCUGUCGGAUAGUAAAUCCCAAGUAAGGUACCUGCCGUCGGCAGAUUUGAGCUUUCUUCUUGGACACCUAAUACCCAGAGUCCUCCAGGCUCCGGUAGAUUGCAAAUGACCUGCUUUCUUUCUGUUCCCGGGCGGCAUCGGACCCGUCGGAGAGUAAAUCCCAAGUAAGGUACCUGCCGUUGGCAGAUUUGAGCUUUCUUCUUGGACACCUAAUACCCACAGUCCUCCAGGUGAGUCCUAAGUAUCUUAGGAUCCGCGAUGGGGGUCCUAAGGCAGGGGGGGAAGAGGGGAUGGCUGUCACCCAACCCAAAAUGGGCGGCCUUUAUGUUCAGGUUUUGCCCAAGAGUCAGCUUAUUUGCUUCUUGUACUAUCAGGGCAGUUGAUGCCACGGCCCUCAAACAGGGGGGCCAUCCUUUAGAAACCCUCUCUAGUUGUUUAGAGACGUAGGACAUUGGCCUCAUCCAGGGCCCCAGAGUUUCGGUUAAAAGUCCAGCUGCCAUCUUUUCUCUAUCUGACGCGUUCAACGGAAAAGGCUUUGUCAGAUCGGGUAGCCCCAGGGCUGGGGCUGCCAGAAGUUUUUCCUUUAACUCAUGAAAGACUUGCUGUUGUUGGGAUCCCUAUUCCAAAGGUUCCCGGUCCCUGCCCCCUUUGUGACCUCAUACAAAGACUUGGCUAAUACUGCAAAGUUUGGGAUGCACAGUCUACAAAACCCCACAGCCCCUGAGAAUUCCCUCACCUGCCUUCUGCCCUUAGGCUCCGGUAGAUUGCAAAUGACCUGCUUUCUUUCUGUUCCCGGGUGGCAUCGACCCGUCGGAGAGUAAAUCCCAAGUAAGGUACCUGCCGUUGGCAGAUUUGAGCUUUCUUCUUGGACACCUAAUACCCACAGUCCUCCAGUAAAUCCCAAGCAAGGUACCUGCCGUCAGCAGAUUUGAGCUUUCUUCUUGGACACCUAAUACCCACAGUCCUCCAAGCUCCGGUAGAUUGCAAAUGACCUGCUUUCUUUCUGUUCCCGGGCUGCGUUCGGACCCCUGUCGGAUAGUAACUCCCAAGUAAGGUACCUGCCGUCGGCAGAUUGGAGCUUUCUUCUUGGAGACCUAAUACCCACAGUCCUCCAGAAAAACAAACAAAGACAUGGAUUUACUGUGCAUAUUAGCAGAUCCAUACUGGAAAAUGCAUGGAGGUUUCAUAUACACCACUUACAGGUUUCCAAAGCCACAAUUUCCUUCAUAUGUUCAAACUCUUCAGGAUGCAGAAAGGCAGUGAACUCCUCCGGAGUAGCUGUCAGGUCACCAUUGAGGUCUGCAGCUUUGAAUCUUCUCUCAUCACGUGGCAGCAUCUUUUUAAAGGUGUGAUGAUCUGAAGAAUCAUGAAACUCUGCGGGGUUUCCUAGGUUUUCAGCUCCUCAGUAGUGACAAAGCCAUACCCAUCAUUGUCGAUUCGAUCAACAAUCUUCCCUAGCCUCUCCUUGCUCUCGUCCGGGGUGAGCUCGUCGAAGUUCUUGGAGUCCUCCUUGCCCAGGAAGGCCUCGUGGUCGUACUGGAAGCUCUGGUUGUCCUCAGGGGGCCGCUCGCCCAGCUCCGAGUCGGGCCGCACCACGCGCUCUUUGCGCACCGUGGGCUUGGCCCGCAGAACCCGCGGCGCCAGCACCAGCGCCAGCAGCAGCCCCAGGGCUAACCCCAGGCGGCCACCGCGCGCCAUCGUCCCGAGGAGAGGGCGGCCGGGAGGGAGACGCUGAGCGAGCGACAACAGCGGCAGCUCGGGAAUGGGGGCUCGGAGCGCGGCGGCCAAGUUUUAUGUUAUGUAUAUUUUACAAGUAAAAAAAUUUUUUCACCUCAGCCUGAACUGAACACUAGCUGACAGACGUUUUGAUUUCUUUGACCAUCACGGAAUCGUGGCCAAGCGCGGUGGCUCACAUCUGUAAUCCCAACACUUUGGGAGGUCAAGAUGGGCGGAUUGCUUGAAUCCAGGUGUUUGAGAUCAGCCUGGGCAACAUGACAAAACCCUGUUUCUAGUAAAAAUACAAAAAUUAACCAGGCUCAAGCCAU